rnacentral:rRNA from 1 species
CCUACGGGUGGCAGCAGUGAGGAAUAUUGGUCAAUGGGCGGAAGCCUGAACCAGCCAAGUCGCGUGAGGGAUUAAGGCCCUGCGGGUCGUAAACCUCUUUUGCCGGGGAGCAGAGGUCCGGACGUGUCCGGGCCGGGAGAUUACCCGGAGCAAAAGCCUCGGCUAACUCCGUGCCAGCAGCCGCGUUAAUAGGGAGGAUGCGAGCGUUAUCCAGAUUUAUUGGGUUGAGAGGGUGCGUAGGCGGGCAUUUAGGCCGGCGGUCAACUGUCGGGGCUCAACCCCGGCCUGCCGGCGGAACUGGGUGCCUUGAGUGGGCGAGAGGUAUGCGGAAUGCGUGGUGUAGCGGUGAAAUGCAUAGAUAUCACGCAGAACCCCGAUUGCGAAGGCAGCAUACCGGCGCCCUACUGACGCUGAGGCACGAAAGUGCGGGUAUCGAACAGGAUUAGAUACCCCUGUAGUC